GAAAUAAUCGAUUGUUAAAUUUUGGUAAUCGAUUAUGGAGCAUUUAAGACCUGACAGGAAUCGAUUGAGGAGCCAAACGGUAACAAAAAAUUAAUAUGAGGUAAUCAAUUGUCAAUUCUUGGUAAUCGAUUAUUUAGGGAACUAAUUUGAUACAGUGAACUUGGAGAAUAUCAGAAUUUGUCAAAUGAUCGAUUGUAUGAAAAAAUAAUCGAUUGUUGUAGAAAGCAUUGCUGAAUGACUGAAGCGGAAAUCGAUUAUGCAAUUUAGGAAAUAAAGAAUUAAACACAGAUGCAUAAUAGUAAUAAUCAGUCAUAAACAAUCGAUUACUGAUACUGAUAAUCGAUGUUCUGCACAGAAAAUAAUCGAUUAGUGGCUUGAAAUAGUCGAUUAUUUUGUGCUAAAACUUCAUA
rnacentral:lncRNA from 1 species